rnacentral:tRNA from 2 species
CGGGGUAUGGCGCAGUCUGGUAGCGCGUCUGCUUUGGGAGCAGAAGGUCAACGGUUCAAAUCCGUUUACCCCGACCA